UACCAGCACCCCGAGUGGUCGGGACGUUUUAUUGGGCCUAAAGCAUCCGUAGCCGGUUUUACAAGUCCUCCGUUAAAUCCAGCUGCUUAACAGAUGGGCUGCGGAGGAUACUAUAAGACUAGGAGGCAGGAGAGGCAAGCGGUACUCAGUGGGUAGGGGUAAAAUCCGUUGAUCCAUUGAAGACCACCAGUGGCGAAGGCGGCUUGCCAGAAUGCGCUCGACGGGUGAGGGAUGAAAGCUGGGGGGAGCAAACCGG
rnacentral:rRNA from 1 species